ACUGAUCCCCCCUGCGCGCAUCCGGUGUGUUUACCUGAUGGUGCUGCCUAUAAUCUCGUGUUUCAGCAAUUUCUUCCCGGUAUAAUCUCGGAGCAGCGGAGCUGGAGAGCAUCAGCCUCGCACCAGCCGCGCGCAGGGCAAGUUAGUUACGUAUGUACAUAGGGUGCAAUAUAAUAUUAUAACGUCGCCGACGCCGUACAGUUUACACUGUAUAGGAUACAUACACAGACAUAUCGAGCUGCAUCUGCGCGCGCAGUGUUGUGGAGAUCAUCAGAGCGCUACCUACUAUAUGUGCGCGCGGGGGGGCUAGCUAGACUCGCGCGCGUCGGCCGAGAGUGCAGUGGCGUCGUGCACCCUGAUCGCGACAGAGCAUCACUGUGAUCGCGUGCAUAGCCAGACACGAGGAGAAGAGUCUCGUGUUUCUCCUAUACAGACGGUAUAUAUUGUAAUAUUUAGUCAACAUGGCGGAAUUUUGCGAUACGAAUUCGCACCAGGUCGGCAAGAACAAUCACCAGUCGCAGCGGGGCAACAACCAGUGGGUCAGGCUCAACGUCGGAGGCACCUACUUUCUCACAGCCAAGACCACCCUGACGCGCGACCCCAACUCCUUUCUCUGUCGACUCUGCCAGGAGGACUCGGACCUCAUAUCCGACAGGGAUGAAACUGGAGCAUACCUUAUUGACAGAGACCCCACGUACUUCAGUCCUAUCCUCAACUACCUGAGACAUGGUAAACUCGUCAUAAAUAAGGACCUUGCCGAGGAAGGUGUUCUGGAGGAGGCUGAGUUUUACAAUAUCACCGAGCUCAUCAGGCUUAUCAAGGAGAGGAUCAUCCUCAGAGAUACGCGGCCAAUAAGAGACUCUAAAAAGCACGUCUACAGGGUUAUUCAGUGCCACGAGGACGAGCUGACGCAGAUGGUUUCUACCAUGUCGGAUGGAUGGAAGUUUGAACAGCUAAUCAACAUUGGCUCUCAGUACAACUAUGGAAACGAAGACCAUGCCGAGUUUUUGUGUGUUGUUAGUCGAGAGUACGGACCCACGCAAUUGACCAGCAAAGAACAGGAGUCGACAGAUCGUGUCAAGGUAUCACUCCUAUCCCGAACAAAUUUUGCGCAUUCACAACCUGGCCAGAGUCAUUCAACUAGUCGGGAUUAAGCCUAUACUUUACAUUAGCUCAAGUUUUAAUGAGAAUAUUGUGUACCAAAUUAUUUACCAUUACCGGUAGACACUAAUACAGUAAUAAUGCUUUUGACAUUUUAAUUAAACUCAUCAAGACUGCCUCUUUCUACAAAUCGUCACUGAUAUUAUGCUGAUAUUAUUUAAUUUCUCCGCUGAAUUUGUGAAAAGAAUUCUAAAAAUCGUGCCUUAUUAAUUACAAAAAGACUAAGAGAGAAGGGCAGACUCGAUGAGUCUCAGUGGUAUAUAGUAGAUGUAUUUAAAGACAUGGAUUUACAUUUAAUUGCUAAUAGCGUAAUUUCUGAUGAAAGUAUUAACAACACGUGUGACUAAUAGAAACUCACAGAGAGAUUAGCAUUCCAAGUAUAUACAUGAUAUACAUUUUCGUUUCCUUUUUUUUUGCACACGUUUGUAUUGUCACAAUUGAGCAAACCAAUGUAUACAAUCACACAACGACGUUCGCUCUCGAGAAAAAAAAACAGAAAUAUUUUCAUCACGAAAGAAUACCGUAAACACGCACCUAUAUACAGUUUAUACAUCAUUUAGCCAUUAUACAUUGAUAUACUAUUGCCAAGGGUUCAUAUUUCUGCAUGAGCAUGUGUCCUUUUACAAUGGUAUUUUGUAAACCUCCUUUUUUUUGUGCGUCUAACCCGCGCGCAGAGUUGUUAUUAUUAUUGUAACGCAAGCAUGCAUAUCAGAUUUUAAGUAAAAAAAAACAAAAAACAAAAAUGAAAAAAAGAACUGGAAUAAAGAUCUGUUCCUCUCAUCGGUAUCUAGUGAUUCCUUUUGUUUUGCGUGAUCCGCAUGACACUUAACGGUGCAUGCAGGCUACUCUGCCAGUGUGUAGCGCGAACCACAUUUUCUCUGUGUGUGCUGGCGGUCGCCGUUGCUGGUUUUCUCACUCAAAAGAGGGGCUACACGCUUACGAGAGGGAGGAUUUUAAUGCCAAAGUCCUCCAGCAAAAAGGCUCGCGCAUGUAAUAUUCGAGUCCUAUCCAGGUCCCUAUCAUUGGCUGCCUAUCGCGAUUGUGGCCGCUACUGAAAUACCUCGUGAGAAAGUCAAGAAUCAACGUUUCUUGGCCAAGGAGUUCGCCGACCUGGUUGGCCAGCCACAGCGAUUAGAGUCAGUCUAUAUAUAGUGUCCUGAUGCGAAGAGAACUACACUAUACGCACACUACUACUACAAAACAUACAUGGACAUCAUACACACGCACACGCUCGCGCGCGCAUAUAUACCAGAUGCAUAUAUGUCAUGUAUAUAUAACUCGUUUCGAGAAAGAGUGCGAGGGCUGCCAGCUCGGAUUAAUAAUGCGGCAGAUAUAUCCUCCCCCCCCCCCCCAUCGACUGUUCGUUCAAAGCUCUUCGCAACGAUCAUCAAAUAGAAGACUGGAACAACUAAAUAAUCAAAGCAGCAGCGGCACACGGACAGCUACUCCUAAUAUAUAAUGUAACGUUGCAUAUACUCUGUCUCAUGUUUGUCUUCUUUAAUUUAGGCUUUUCCAUAUUAUAAUCUAUAAUACUGUCAUUCCGACGUAUACUUUUUCGAAUCGAUUCAAGCGAGAGAGGGCGAACUGCGUUUUUUAUUAUACGUUACGAAGCCCGCAUAUACCUAUUUGAAGUACGUAUAUGUGUGUAGAUUUCUAUAUAUGAGAAAGAGAGAGAAAGAGUUCGAUUCAAGAAUAAGUCCUUACGUUGGGUACAUAUAUACAUGUAACAAAUGACGAAAGUUAGAUUACGCGAGCGCAGUGGCUAAGUGUGUACAGUGUAAGAUCUUCGUGUAACCAAAUUGUGUCGUUUUGUUAAUUUUUUUAUUACAAUGACAGUGUGUUAUAUAAAAAAAAAACGACGACAUAUUAUAGUCGAGACGAUAAACGACGCGAGAGGAAAGUACGGUGUGUCAUGAUCCGGAAGACGCUCUUAACGACCAAAUAAAAUUAAAAACAAACUCUCACGUCCCACGAUGAUUCAAUUGACCGGGGGGGGGGGGGGGGACUUUUAAGAUCUUUGUACGAUCGAGAUUAAGAAAUUUGGAUAAAUAAUUUUAAACGCGACCCGAGCGUCGUUUUCAUAUCGACUUUAUUAGCAAGAUAAUAUGACAACACUCGUUCCCGUUUUUCCCGGCAAAGGGCGAGGCGAUUAUGAUGAUUUACACUUUUUUUACAAAAGUAAUAAUUAAUAAUUAAUAUGAGAAUAAUAUAUACAUACAUAUAAAUAAGUAAUAAUGAUAACUCUAGAAGAUGUAGUCAAUUCCUUUUGGAAACAGAGUCUCGUCUCUCCUCUCAGACGUACAUUGCAUGUAAUCGUGUAUUGUAUAAUUAUAUACUUAUACCUCUGCACUGCCGCCGUAAAAACAUAAUAAGUGUGUGUGUGUGUGUGUAUAUAUAUAUAUAUAUAUAUAUAUAUUUAUAAUAAGUAUAUAUAUAUAUAUAUGUGUGUGUGUGUGUGUGUGUGAACUUACAACACGAUUUUUUAUCGUCCAGGUAUAAGCGCAUUUUAGAAGAUAUUAUUUAGCGUGCGAGAGUGUUCUAAAGAAAAUCAAACGUAUAAGGAAAAAACGUCAACCGAUAUGACAAAAUAAUUCAUCAAACAAACAAAAAAUAAUAUAACUUUGUACUUUAACGGAGACUCUAUACGAAAAUGAUAGCCUGUAAUGAACUCGAAAAAGUACAAUUUCUUGCAGAAAAAAUCUAAAACAAACUAUGAUUACCGGCUAAAGAUUGCUUAUACAAAAUAUAAACAUUGAAGAGUCCUUUGAUCGUUACCGUUAGAUAUUUAGAAAUGACAUAAAGUGGAGUGCAAUAUUAAACGUUAAUCCUAUGCAUAGCUACAAAUACAUUAUGUAUAUGUAGUAUAUAUAUAUAUAAAUACUAAAACUGUAUAUGUAUAUCCACGGUCUUGUAAUAACGAUUCAGUGAGUCGGAAAAAAGCAACAUGUUUUGUAUGUUAUUAUACGCCAAUAAUGAUAUAUAGGAGCGUGAGCGAAAAGCCGCAGAUAUUCAUCGUGUUUGGUGCGCGAUAGACUUACUUACGUUUAUAACGACUUGUUUUCCUUUUACGAUGGAAGUUUUACGCGGCAUUGAUUAUUAUUAUCAUUAACGUAUACCGUGGAUUACAAAAAUUUAAAGGAAAUGCAAGCACAUUCGUUUCGAACAUUACGCAAUUUACUUAUUAGUAUACAAGAUGAUGCUUAAAUAAUAUAUUAUAGUGUACCGACAUCUCACUCUGGUCAUUAUGUAAGUGGUAUUUCAAUUUUGUGAUAAAACUUCUGUAUUCACCUUAUUACGACUAUCGAUGGGAAGAAAGUAAAGAGUAAAUAAGUGAUGAAACUAUAAGAAGAUAUAUAAGAGCUGUUACAAAAACUCGUGUAAAAAGAGUAUACAGUCUAUAUACAUAUAGUAAUGCGUAGAUUAUAUAUGCAACCACGAUGCAGUUUUCAAUGUAGAGAAAAAAUCCACUCUGGACAAUAUAUAAAUAUUAUAUACAUAUAUAUGUAUAAUAUACGCUGCGUCGCUAUAAAAACGGUUAGGCUAUAUAUAUAAAAAAAGGAGUCAUCUUUCGUAUAAUCAGAUCGGGAGUUUUGAAAGAUCGCGAUUUCGAAAAUCCAUGAUUUGGGGACAUAUCGCGGAUGAUUCAAACUCGACCAAUAACUUUUGUACCAUACAAUAUAUGAAACUAAUGACGUUUGCGACGCAUAAGUUGUACAUAGUGAGACGAAGAACUAAAGUAAAGCCAACUAUAUCGUGAACGUGUGUAUAUAGUUGGCUUUCAAGAAUAUAUUAUAUAAAUUUUAUGACUAGAUUUAUCUUCAAUUAUAUAUGCACGCGUUAAUCAGCUCGAUUGCAAAGAGACACAAAAAGCGCGAAAACACAUCGUACAUAGAAUAAUGCAUCGUUUGUAUCGGUUGUAAAUUGUAUUAAAAAAAGAAAAAAAGAAUAAAAAUACCCUAUUGCGUA